ensembl:snoRNA
CAGUGGCCCUUAUCGAAGCUGCAGCUGCUUGUAUGUAGUUGCUGCAGUCAAAAAGGAGCCCAGAGUAAGAAUUUUCCUUGACGGUCGCCGUUCUGUUUGCUGUAACCGAUCUGCAACAUUUUGGGGAAAGACAGUU